AACGAACGCUGGCGGCAUGCCUAACACAUGCAAGUCGAACGAGACCUUCGGGUCUAGUGGCGCACGGGUGCGUAACGCGUGGGAACCUGCCCUUAGGUUCGGAAUAACUCCCCUAAAGGGGUGCUAAUACAGGAUAAUGUAUUCGGACAAAAGAUUUAUCGCCUUUGGAUGGGCCCGCGUUGGAUUAGCUAGUUGGUAGGGUAAAAGCCUACCACGGCGACGAUCCAUAGCUGGUCUGAGAGGAUGAUCAGCCACACUGGGACUGAGACACGGCCCAGACUCCUACGGGAGGCAGCAGUGGGGAAUAUUGGACAAUGGGCGAAAGCCUGAUCCAGCAAUGCCGCGUGAGUGAUGAAGGCCUUAGGGUUGUAAAGCUCGUUUACCCGGGAUGAUAAUGACAGUACCGGGAGAAUAAGCGCCGGCUAACUCCGUG
rnacentral:rRNA from 1 species